rnacentral:rRNA from 1 species
CCUACGGGGGGCUGCAGUGAGGAAUAUUGGUCAAUGGGCUUACGCCUGAACCAGCCAAGUCGCGUGAGGGAAGACUGCCCUAUGGGUUGUAAACCUCUUUUGUCAGGGAGCAACGCCGGCUACGUGUAGCCGGACUGAGAGUACCUGAAGAAAAAGCAUCGGCUAACUCCGUGCCAGCAGCCGCGGUAAUACGGAGGAUGCGAGCGUUAUCCGGAUUGAUUGGGUUUAAAGGGUGCGUAGGCGGAAUGCCAAGUCAGCGGUAAAAUCGCGGGGCUCAACCUCGCUCCGCCGUUGAAACUGGCGUUCUUGAGUGGGCGAGAAGUAGGCGGAAUGCGUGGUGUAGCGGUGAAAUGCAUAGAUAUCACGCAGAACUCCGAUUGCGAAGGCAGCAUACCGGCGCCCAACUGACGCUGAAGCACGAAAGCGUGGGUAUCGAACAGGAUUAGAUACCCCUGUAGUC